rnacentral:rRNA from 1 species
AGCGAACGCUGGCGGCAGGCCUAACACAUGCAAGUCGAGCGCCGUAGCAAUACGGAGCGGCAGACGGGAGAGUAACACGUGGGAACGUGCCCUUUGGUUCGGAACAACCCAGGGAAACUUGGGCUAAUACCGGAUAAGCCCUCACGGGGAAAGAUUUAUCGCCGAAGGAUCGGCCCGCGUCUGAUUAGCUUGUUGGUGGGGUAACGGCCCACCAAGGCGACGAUCAGUAGCUGGUCUGAGAGGAUGAUCAGCCUCACUGGGACUGAGACACGGCCCAGACUCCUACGGGAGGCAGCAGUGGGGAAUAUUGGACAAUGGGCGCAAGCCUGAUCCAGCCAUGCCGCGUGGGUGAUGAAGGCCCUAGGGUUGUAAAGCCCUUUCGGCGGGGAAGAUAAUGACGGUACCCGCAGAAGAAGCCCCGGCUAACUUCGUGCCAGCAGCCGCGGUAACAC